GCUCAACCGAGGAAGUGCUUCGAAAACUGGUAAACUUGAGUGCAGAAGAGGGAAGUGGAACUCCAUGUGUAGCGGUGGAAUGCGUAGAUAUAUGGAAGAACACCAGUGGCGAAGGCGGCUUUCUGGUCUGUAACUGACGCUGAGAUUCGAAAGCAUGGGUAGCAAACAGGAUUAGAUACCCUGGUAGUCCAUGCCGUAAACGAUGAGUGCUAAGUGUUGGAGGGUUUCCGCCCUUCAGUGCUGCAGCUAACGCAUUAAGCACUCCGCCUGGGGAGUACGACCGCAAGGUUGAAACUCAAAGGAAUUGACGGGGGCCCGCACAAGCGGUGGAGCAUGUGGUUUAAUUCGAAGCAACGCGAAGAACCUUACCAGGUCUUGACAUACCAUGAAAAGCUUAGAGAUAAGUCUUUCCCUUCGGGGACAUGGAUACAGGUGGUGCAUGGUUGUCGUCAGCUCGUGUCGUGAGAUGUUGGGUUAAGUCCCGCAACGAGCGCAACCCUUAUUAUCAGUUGCCAGCAUUCAGUUGGGCACUCUGGUGAGACUGCCGGUGACAAACCGGAGGAAGGUGGGGACGACGUCAAAUCAUCAUGCCCCUUAUGACCUGUGCUACACACGUGCUACAAUGGUCGGUACAACG
rnacentral:rRNA from 1 species